rnacentral:rRNA from 1 species
UACGUAGGGGGCAAGCGUUGUCCGGAAUCAUUGGGCGUAAAGAGCGUGUAGGCGGUCCGGUAAGUCGGCUGUGAAAGUCCAGGGCUCAACCCUGGGAUGCCGGUCGAUACUGCCGGACUAGAGUUCGGAAGAGGCGAGUGGAAUUCCCGGUGUAGCGGUGAAAUGCGCAGAUAUCGGGAGGAACACCUAUGGCGAAGGCAGCUCGCUGGGACGUUAACUGACGCUGGAGACGCGAAAGCGUGGGGGAGCAAACAGG